rnacentral:rRNA from 1 species
UACGUAGGGUGCAAGCGUUUGUCCGGAAUUAUUGGGCGUAAAGAGCUCGUAGGCGGUUCGUCGCGUCGGCUGUGAAAACCUGAGGCUCAACCUCAGGCCUGCAGUUGAUACGGGCGGACUUGAGUACUGCAGGGGAGACUGGAAUUCCUGAUGUAGCGGUGAAAUGCGCAGAUAUCAGGAGGAACACCGGUGGCGAAGGCGGGUCUCUGGGCAGUAACUGACGCUGAGGAGCGAAAGCGUGGGGAGCGAACAGG